GUCCACCCUGGGGCCUGGAUGGGGCCUGAGCACAGCCCCGCCCCUGGGCUCAGAGGCCUCCUCUGCUUGCUUCAGGGUUAGCAGCCACGUUCUGGAGGGCUGGGGGUACCAGAAAUCCGACCUCCGGACCAAUGGGGUACUCAUGAAAUACUCUACGUCCAGGCAAAGAAAGAACGUGGAGGAUUGAGUUUCCAGGAACAUGUAAAGAAACUUCUUAUAAAACCAGAAUUUGUUUUCAUAGUUCCCUAAGGUUAAGGAAAGUAUAAUGACAAGAAAAACUGUUUGGAAAGAGUUGUAAAUUUAGUUGUCUGGGUAGACAAGGAACUUAAAUCGGGUGUAAGCUUCUAUCCUCAAAACACUCUGUGAGGCCAGGAGCAGUGGCUCACGCCUAUAAUCCCAGCACUUUGGGAGGCUGAGGCAGGCAAAUCACUUGAGGUCAGGAGUUCGAGAUCAGCCUAGGCCACAUGGCGAAACCCCGCCUCUACCAAAAAUACAAAAAUUAGCCAGGCGUGGUGGCACACACCUGUAGUCCUAGCUCCCGGGGAGGCUGAGGUAGGAGGAUCACUUACAGCCUGGGAGGUCAAGGCUGCAGUGAGCCAUGAUUGCACCACUGCACUCCAGCCUGGGCGACAGCAGGAGACCCUGUCUCCAAAAACAAACCCACAAAAAAACAAAACAGGUGACACGUUCUCUAUGGUCACUACACUUUGUCACUUUCCAUCUGUUAGUUGAUAACCUGCAUGAUCCAAACCGAUUUAACUCACUUUUGCCUCCUUCACAAAGGAAAACCUGGUAUUUUCACGGCCAAAGGAUUCAAUGAUUCAGCAGCACUGUCAAGAUAUAAGCUGUUGGCUGGGCAUGGUGGCUCAUGCCUGUAAUGCUAGCACUUUGGAAGGCCGAGGUGGGUGGAUCACCUGAGGUCAGGAGUUCAAGACCAGCCUGGCCAACAUGGCAAAACCCUGUCUCUACUAAAAAUACAAAAAUUAUUAGCUGAGUGUGGUGGCACACGCCUGGAGUCCCAGCUACUCGGGAGGCUGAGGCAGGAGAAUUGCUUGAAUGAACUCAGGGGCUGGAGGUUGCAGUGAGCUGAGAUCAUGCCACUGCACUCCAGCCUGGGUGAAAGAGUGAAACUCUGUCUCAAAAAAUAAAAACAAAAAGCAACAAAGAUGUAAGCUGUUGACAGCAGUAAUCCACACACUGUUGUACAAAACCUAGAGGUGCUUUCACCUUUGCUCGCUUCUGCGCUCUUAGAGGCCCACGGUUAU
rnacentral:lncRNA from 10 species